rnacentral:rRNA from 1 species
AGGGUUUGAUCAUGGCUCAGAACGAACGCUGGUGGCGUGCUUAACACAUGCAAGUCGAACGAGAAAGUUUCCUUCGGGAAAUUAGUAAAGUGGCGCAAGGGUGAGUAUCACGUGAAUAAUCUGCCCUCGAGAUCGGGAUAACAUGGUGAAAACUAUGCUAAUACCGGAUAAGACCACAUUUCAUAAGAAAUGCGGUAAAAGGAGUCUCAAUCUUCACUCGAGGAUGAGUUCGCGCAACAUUAGCUUGUUGGUGAGAUAAAAGCUCACCAAGGCUACGAUGUUUAGCCGGCCUGAGAGGGUGAUCGGCCACACUGGAACUGAGACACGGUCCAGACUCCUACGGGAGGCAGCAGUGGGGAAUAUUGCGCAAUGGGCGAAAGCCUGACGCAGCAACGCCGUGUGAGCGAUGAAGGCUUUAGGGUCGUAAAGCUCUGUCAAAUGGGAAGAAUUUUGACGGUACCAUUAGAGGAAGCCCCGGCUAACUCCGUGCCAGCAGCCGCGGUAAUACGGAGGGGGCAAGCGUUGUUCGGAAUUAUUGGGCGUAAAGCGUAUGUAGGCGGUUAAACAAGUCAGGCGUGCAAGCCCGUGGCUCAACCACGGAAUUGCGUUUGAAACUGUUUAACUUGAGUACAGGAGAGGAAAGCGGAAUUCCCAGUGUAGCGGUGAAAUGCAUUGAUAUUGGGAAGAACAUCUGUG